rnacentral:tRNA from 1 species
GGAAAGGUGGGUGAGUGGCUGAAACCAGCGCCCUGCUAAGGCGCCGUACCCUUACGGGUACCGCGGGUUCAAAUCCCGCCCUUUCCGCCA